rnacentral:tRNA from 1 species
GGGGCCGUAGCUCAGCUGGGAGAGCGCCUGCUUUGCACGCAGGAGGUCGGCGGUUCGAGCCCGCUCGGCUCCACCA